rnacentral:sRNA from 1 species
UCCGGCCUGUAAUGCAGACCUAUGUAACAACAUGUUUUUGAACACUUCGCUACACAGCUUCAUAGUAAGUCAUGUCCCUGAAGAUUCACGCACGUUUGCCCGCAUAAGUAAAGUAACAGUCAGGCUAACAGCGCAUUAUGCGUAAAUUAGUUUUAUUAAAAUUUUUAGGAGUCAUUCAUGGCUAAAGUAACUGGUGUAGUAAAGUGGUUCAACGCAGAUAAAGGUUUCGGUUUCAUCACUCAGGAUAACGGCGGCGCUGAUGCGUUCGUUCAUUUCCGUGCAAUCAUGACUGAAGGUUACAAAACCUUAAACGAAGGCCAACGUGUUGCUUUCGAAAUCGAACAAGGCCAAAAAGGCCCACAAGCUGCUAACGUAACUCUGCUGUAAUAGCAAAGCGCGUUCAGUUUAAAAAAGCGGCCAGUUUACUGGCCGUUUUUUAU